rnacentral:rRNA from 1 species
CAAGAGCGUAUAUUAAAGUUGUUGCGGUUAAAAAGCUCGUGGUUGGAUUUCUGCUGUGGACGACCGGUCCGCCCACUGGGUGAUCAUCUGGUUCGGCCUUGGCAUCGUCUUGGUGAACGUAUCUGUACUUGACUGCGUGGUGCGGUACCCAGGACUUUGACUUUGAGGAAAUUAAAGCGUUUCAAGCAGGCAUACGCCUUGAAAACAUUAGCAUGGAAUAAUAAGAUCGGACCUCGGUUCUAUUUUGUUGGUGUCUAGAGCUGAGGCAAUGCUUAAUUGGGAUAGUUGGGGGGCAUUCGUAGUUAACUGUCAGAGGUGAACUUCUUGGAUUUGCUAAAGACGGACUAGCUACUGCGAAAGCAUUUGCCAAGGAUGUUUCCAUUGAUCAAGCACGAAAGUUAGGGGA